UUUAUUGGAGAGUUUGAUCCUGGCUCAGGAUGAACGCUGGCGGCGUGCCUAAUACAUGCAAGUCGAGCGAAUGGAUUAAGAGCUUGCUCUUAUGAAGUUAGCGGCGGACGGGUGAGUAACACGUGGGUAACCUGCCCAUAAGACUGGGAUAACUCCGGGAAACCGGGGCUAAUACCGGAUAACAUUUUGAACCGCAUGGUUCGAAAUUGAAAGGCGGCUUCGGCUGUCACUUAUGGAUGGACCCGCGUCGCAUUAGCUAGUUGGUGAGGUAACGGCUCACCAAGGCAACGAUGCGUAGC
rnacentral:rRNA from 1 species